AGCGAACGCUGGCGGCAGGCCUAACACAUGCAAGUCGAACGGACCCUUCGGGGUUAGUGGCGGACGGGUGAGUAACACGUGGGAACGUGCCUUUUGGUUCGGAACAACUCAGGGAAACUUGAGCUAAUACCGAAUGUGCCCUUCGGGGGAAAGAUUUAUCGCCAUUAGAGCGGCCCGCGUCUGAUUAGCUUGUUGGUGAGGUAAUGGCUCACCAAGGCGACGAUCAGUAGCUGGUCUGAGAGGAUGAUCAGCCACAUUGGGACUGAGACACGGCCCAAACUCCUAAGGGAGGCAGCAGUGGGGAAUCUUGCGCAAUGGGCGAAAGCCUGACGCAGCCAUGCCGCGUGAAUGAUGAAGGUCUUAGGAUUGUAAAAUUCUUUCACCGGGGACGAUAAUGACGGUACCCGGAGAAGAAGCCCCGGCUAACUUCGUGCCAGCCGCCGCAGUAAUAC
rnacentral:rRNA from 1 species